rnacentral:rRNA from 1 species
UACGGAGGGUGCAAGCGUUGUCCGGAUUUAUUGGGUUUAAAGGGUGCGUAGGCGGCCUUAUAAGUCAGUGGUGAAACCCUUGGGCUUAACCCAAGGAGUGCCAUUGAUACUGUGAGGCUUGGGUUAUCUCUGGGCGGGCGGAAUGGAUGGUGUAGCGGUGAAAUGCGUAGAUAUCAGCAGGAACACCAAUGGCGAAGGCAGCUCACUGGGCCAUUCCUGACGCUGAGGCACGAAAGCGUAGGGAGCGAACCGG